rnacentral:rRNA from 1 species
AGCCCCCAGAUGGGCAAUGAGACAAGGGCCCAGGCCCUACGGGGCGCACCAGGCGCGAAACCUCCGCAAUGCGGGAAACCGUGACGGGGCCACCCAGAGUGCCCCCUUACGGGGGCUUUUCCCCGCUGUAGAAAGGCGGGGGAAUAAGCGGGGGGCAAGUCUGGUGUCAGCCGCCGCGGUAAUACCAGCCCCGCGAGUGGUCGGGACGAUUAUUGGGCAUAAAGCGCCCGUAGCCGGCCCGGCAAGUCCCCUCCUAAAUUCCCGGGCUCAACCCGGGGACUGGAGGGGAUACUGCCGGGCUAGGGGGUGGGAGAGGCCGAGGGUACUCCCGGGGUAGGGGCGAAAUCCUAUAAUCCCGGGAGGACCACCAGUGGCGAAGGCGCUCGGCUGGAACACGCCCAACGGUGAGGGGCGAAAGCCGGGGGAGCGAACCGGAUUAGAUACCCGGGUAGUCCCGGCUGUAAACGAUGCGGGCUAGGUGUUGGGUGGGCUUAGAGCCCACCCAGUGCAACAGGGAAGCCGUUAAGCCCGCCGCCUGGGGAGUACGCCCGCAAGGCUGAAACUCAAAGGAAUUGGCGGGGGAGCACCACAAGGGGUGGAGCCUGCGGUUCAAUUGAAGUCAACGCCGGGAAUCUCACCGGGGAGACAAGCAGGAUGACGGCCAGGUUAAAGGCCUUGCCUGACGCGCUGAGAGGAGGUGCAUGCCCGUCGCCAGCUCGUGCUGUGAAGUGUCCGGUUAAGUCCGGAAACGAGCGAGACCCCCACCCCUAGUUGCUACCCGGGGCUACGGCUCCGGGGCACACUAGGGGGACUGCCGCCGUUUAAGGCGGAGGAAGGAGGGGGCCACGGCAGGUCAGCAUGCCCCGAACCCCCCGGGCUACACGCGGGCUACAAUGGCGGGGACAGCGGGAUCCGACCCCGAAAGGGGGAGGCAAUCCCUCAAACCCCGCCGUGGUUGGGAUCGAGGGCUGCAACUCGCCCUCGUGAACGAGGAAUCCCUAGUAACCGCGCGUCAACAUCGCGCGGUGA